UUGGCCAAGCCUGAACAGGCUGACCUGACUCCCCCUCCCCACCUCCGAACAAGGGAAGGAAGGAGGCGACGGUCUGGGGUGGCAGGGCAGACUGGGGCAGGGGCGAGAAGGCCCUGUUGAGGGUAGAGGACUCCGGAGUCCUGGCCUGGAAACAGCAGGCUCCGGGGAGCCCUGGCGGUGGCUGCAUCUGGGGACCAAGGAGGAAGAGGAGGCACCAGCUAAUGCUGCCAGGAGAAGCAGGGGCCGAUGCUGCGCCUGGAGGAAGGGAGGUUGCGGAUGGACGAAUCCCCGGAACCGGAGAGGGAAGAGAGGCUGCUGACUCUGCUGGGCCUGUCCCUGUGGGGCAAGAUUCCCGUGUGGGGUCCUGGGGACCUCUAAAGCCGAACGCCUGAGGGUUUUGCAUCUCUUCAGAAUCUGAGGUCGGAGGUGGGGAGGAUGGAGUCUCUGUUCCCGAGGAUCCCUCUGGGGGUCUGGAGGAGGAUAAGAUGGGGAUUCUCUUUGGUACUACCGAAUGUGAAAUAAAUUCGCCCUUGGCCAUGGUAACAGACUUGGAAG